rnacentral:rRNA from 1 species
CAGCCGCCGCGGGAACACGAAGGGUGCAAGCGUUAAUCGGAAUUACUGGGCGUAAAGCGUGCGUAGGCGGUUUGUUAAGUCUGCUGUGAAAUCCCCGGGCUCAACCUGGGAAUGGCAGUGGAUACUGGCAAGCUAGAGUGUGUCAGAGGAUGGUGGAAUUCCCGGUGUAGCGGUGAAAUGCGUAGAGAUCGGGAGGAACAUCAGUGGCGAAGGCGGCCAUCUGGGACAACACUGACGCUGAGGCACGAAAGCGUGGGGAGCAAACAGGAUUAGAUACCCGGGUAGUCCCUGUCUCUUAUAC